AGUAACACGUGGAUAACCUACCUAUAAGACUGGGAUAACUUCGGGAAACCGGAGCUAAUACCGGAUAAUAUAUUGAAUCGCAUGGUUCAAUAGUGAAAGACGGUUUUGCUGUCACUUAUAGAUGGAUCCGCGCUGCAUUAGCUAGUUGGUAAGGUAACGGCUUACCAAGGCAACGAUGCGUAGCCGACCUGAGAGGGUGAUCGGCCACACUGGAACUGAGACACGGUCCAGACUCCUACGGGAGGCAGCAGCU
rnacentral:rRNA from 1 species